GGGUGCAAGCGUUAUCCGGAUUUAUUGGGUUUAAAGGGUGCGCAGGCGGGGCCUUAAGUCAGUGGUGAAAUCCCUUCGCUUAACGAAGGAACUGCCAUUGAUACUGAGGUUCUUGAAUCUAGUUGACGUUAGUGGAAUGUGUCAUGUAGCGGUGAAAUGCUUAGAUAUGACACAGAACACCGAUCGCGAAGGCAGCUAACGAAGCUAGUAUUGACGCUCAGGCACGACAGCAUGGGGAGCAAGCAGG
rnacentral:rRNA from 1 species